rnacentral:rRNA from 1 species
GUAAUUUAAAAUUAAUUCCUUAGGAUUAAAAGAGAUCUUAAAAUUAAAAAAGUUUGGCGGUAUUUAAGUCUAACUAGAGGAAUUUGCAAUUUAAUCGAUAAUCCCCGAUAAUCUUUCCUCGAUUUGUAAAUCAGCUUGUAUACCGUUGUCUUCAGAUUACACUAAUAAGUGUUUUUAAAAAAAUUUUUGUAAGUCAAAUCAAGGUGUAGCUUAUGUUGAGGUUAUUGUGAAUUACAUUAAUAGUAAUUAUAUGAAUAUUAAAUUGUAAUUUUUAGUUGAAGGUGGAUUUAGUUGUAAGUUUAAUUUAUUAAAUUAUUCUGAAUAAGUACUUUUAUAUGU